CAGAAGUGCGAAUGCUGACAUAAGUAACGAUAAAGCGGGUGAAAAGCCCGCUCGCCGGAAGACCAAGGGUUCCUGUCCAACGUUAAUCGGGGCAGGGUGAGUCGACCCCUAAGGCGAGGCCGAAAGGCGUAGUCGAUGGGAAACAGGUUAAUAUUCCUGUACUUGGUGUUACUGCGAAGGGGGGACGGAGAAGGCUAUGUUGGCCGGGCGACGGUUGUCCCGGUUUAAGCGUGUAGGCUGGUUUUCCAGGCAAAUCCGGAAAAUCAAGGCUGAGGCGUGAUGACGAGGCACUACGGUGCUGAAGCAACAAAUGCCCUGCUUCCAGGAAAAGCCUCUAAGCAUCAGGUAACAUCAAAUCGUACCCCAAACCGACACAGGUGGUCAGGUAGAGAAUACCAAGGCGCUUGAGAGAACUCGGGUGAAGGAACUAGGCAAAAUGGUGCCGUAACUUCGGGAGAAGGCACGCUGAUAUGUAGGUGAAGCGACUUGCUCGUGGAGCUGAAAUCAGUCGAAGAUACCAGCUGGCUGCAACUGUUUAUUAAAAACACAGCACUGUGCAAACACGAAAGUGGACGUAUACGGUGUGACGCCUGCCCGGUGCCGGAAGGUUAAUUGAUGGGGUUAGCGCAAGCGAAGCUCUUGAUCGAAGCCCCGGUAAACGGCGGCCGUAACUAUAACGGUCCUAAGGUAGCGAAAUUCCUUGUCGGGUAAGUUCCGACCUGCACGAAUGGCGUAAUGAUGGCCAGGCUGUCUCCACCCGAGACUCAGUGAAAUUGAACUCGCUGUGAAGAUGCAGUGUACCCGCGGCAAGACGGAAAGACCCCGUGAACCUUUACUAUAGCUUGACACUGAACAUUGAGCCUUGAUGUGUAGGAUAGGUGGGAGGCUUUGAAGUGUGGACGCCAGUCUGCAUGGAGCCGACCUUGAAAUACCACCCUUUAAUGUUUGAUGUUCUAACGUUGACCCGUGAUCCGGGUUGCGGACAGUGUCUGGUGGGUAGUUUGACUGGGGCGGUCUCCUCCUAAAGAGUAACGGAGGAGCACGAAGGUUGGCUAAUCCUGGUCGGACAUCAGGAGGUUAGUGCAAUGGCAUAAGCCAGCUUGACUGCGAGCGUGACGGCGCGAGCAGGUGCGAAAGCAGGUCAUAGUGAUCCGGUGGUUCUGAAUGGAAGGGCCAUCGCUCAACGGAUAAAAGGUACUCCGGGGAUAACAGGCUGAUACCGCCCAAGAGUUCAUAUCGACGGCGGUGUUUGGCACCUCGAUGUCGGCUCAUCACAUCCUGGGGCUGAAGUAGGUCCCAAGGGUAUGGCUGUUCGCCAUUUAAAGUGGUACGCGAGCUGGGUUUAGAACGUCGUGAGACAGUUCGGUCCCUAUCUGCCGUGGGCGCUGGAGAACUGAGGGGGGCUGCUCCUAGUACGAGAGGACCGGAGUGGACGCAUCACUGGUGUUCGGGUUGUCAUGCCAAUGGCACUGCCCGGUAGCUAAAUGCGGAAGAGAUAAGUGCUGAAAGCAUCUAAGCACGAAACUUGCCCCGAGAUGAGUUCUCCCUGACUCCUUGAGAGUCCUGAAGGAACGUUGAAGACGACGACGUUGAUAGGCCGGGUGUGUAAGCGCAGCGAUGCGUUGAGCUAACCGGUACUAAUGAACCGUGAGG
rnacentral:rRNA from 1 species